UGGGGGAUAUUGCACAAUGGGCGAAAGCCUGAUGCAGCGACGCCGCGUGGGGGAUGAAGGCCUUCGGGUUGUAAACUUCUUUUGCUCUGAACAAGGCAUGCUAAUGGGUGUGUUGAGUGUAGGGGUUGAUUAGCGCCGGCUAACUACGUGCCAGCAGCCGCGGUAAUACGUAGGGCGCGAGCGUUGUCCGGUAUUAUUGGGCGUAAAGGGCUUGUAGGUGGCUGGUUGCGUCUGUCGUGAAAGCUCAUGGCUUAACUGUGGGUUUGCGGUGGGUACGGGCUGGCUUGAGUGCAGUAGGGGAGGCUGGAAUUCCUGGUGUAGCGGUGGAAUGCGCAGAUAUCAGGAGGAAUACCGGUGGCGAAGGCGGGUCUCUGGGCUGUUACUGACACUGAGGAGCGAAAGCAUGGGGAGCGAACAGG
rnacentral:rRNA from 1 species